ACGCUCCACACAGAUUAUUAAUCUGAGCAUGUGGCCAUCCAACUGAAUCAGUGAUGUAACACCGGUAGUUGAGACUAAUAGGGAUAUUAGUUGUUGACUACAUUAAUGGUGU
rnacentral:sRNA from 1 species